rnacentral:rRNA from 1 species
AGAGUUCGAUUAUGGCUCAGGAUGAACGCUGGCGGCGUGCCUAACACAUGCAAGUCGAGCGAAGCGAUUUGGAGGAAGUUUUCGGAUGGAAUCCGGAUUGACUGAGCGGCGGACGGGUGAGUAACGCGUGGGUAACCUGCCUCAUACAGGGGGAUAACAGCUAGAAAUGGCUGCUAAUACCGCAUUAGCGCACGGUAUCGCAUGAUACAGUGUGAAAAGCCGAGACGGUAUGAGAUGGACCCGCGUCUGAUUAGCUAGUUGGUGGGGUAACGGCCCACCAAGGCGACGAUCAGUAGCCGACCUGAGAGGGUGACCGGCCACAUUGGGACUGAGACACGGCCCAA